GAUAGCUCAGUAACACGUGGCCAAACUACCCUAUGGAUCCGAAUAACCUCGGGAAACUGAGGCUAAUUCGGAAUACGAAUCCCAGGCUGGAACUGCCGGGAUUCCGAAACGUUACGGCGCCAUAGGAUGUGGCUGCGGCCGAUUAGGUAGACGGUGGGGUAACGGCCCACCGUGCCGAUAAUCGGUACGGGUUGUGAGAGCAAGAGCCCGGAGACGGUAUCUGAGACAAGAUACCGGGCCCUACGGGGCGCAGCAGGCGCGAAACCUUUACACUGCACGCGAGUGCGAUAAGGGGACUCCAAGUGCGAGGGCAUAUCGUCCUCGCUUUUCGCGACCGUAAGGAGGUCGCAGAAUAAGUGCUGGGCAAGACCGGUGCCAGCCGCCGCGGUAAUACCGGCAGCACGAGUGAUGACCGCUAUUAUUGGGCCUAAAGCGUCCGUAGCUGGCCAGCCAAGUCCAUCGGGAAAUCCGCGUGCUUAACGCGCGGGCGUCCGGUGGAAACUGGAUGGCUUGGGACCGGAAGACCAGAGGGGUACGUCCGGGGUAGGAGUGAAAUCCCGUAAUCCUGGACGGACCACCGGUGGCGAAAGCGCCUCUGGAAGACGGAUCCGACGGUGAGGGACGAAAGCUCGGGUCACGAACCGGAUUAGAUACCCGGGUAGUCCGAGCUGUAAACGAUGUCUGCUAGGUGUGACACAGGC
rnacentral:rRNA from 1 species